CCUACGGGAGGCAGCAGUGGGGAAUAUUACACAAUGGGGGAAACCCUGAUGCAGCGACGCCGCGUGAGCGAUGAAGUAUUUCGGUAUGUAAAGCUCUAUCAGCAGGGAAGAAAAUGACGGUACCUGACUAAGAAGCCCCGGCUAACUACGUGCCAGCAGCCGCGGUAAUACGUAGGGGGCAAGCGUUAUCCGGAUUGACUGGGUGUAAAGGGAGCGUAGACGGCUGUGCAAGCCAGAGGUGAAAGCCCGGGGCUCAACCCCGGGACUGCAUGUGGAACUGUGUGGCUGGAGUGUCGGAGAGGCAGGCGGAAUUGCUGGUGUAGCGGUGAAAUGCGUAGAUAUUAGGAGGAACACCAGUGGCGAAGGCGGCCUGCUGGACGAUGACUGACGUUGAGGCUCGAAAGCGUGGGGAGCAAACAGGAUUAGAUACCCUAGUAGUC
rnacentral:rRNA from 1 species